rnacentral:lncRNA from 10 species
CUGGGAUUACAGGCAUCCGCCAUCAUGCCCAGCUAAAUUUUGUAUUUUUGUAGAGACGGGGUUUCUCCAUAUUGGCCAGGCUGGUCUUGAACUCCUGACCUCAGGUGAUCCGCCUGCCUUGACCUCCCAAAGUGCUGGAAUUACAGGCAUGAGUCACUGCACCCGGCUUUCUUGAUGUUCUUUUCUUUAUUUAUAUCUCAGCUUCUGACAUAUCAUUUUCCUUCUUUUCUAAAUAACUUCUUUUAACAUUUCUUGCAUGGCAGAGCUUCUAGCAACAAAUUCCCUCAACUCUGUUUGUCUGAGACAGUAUUUCUCCUUCACUUUUGGAGAAUAAUUUUGCAGAGUAUUCAGUUCUAGGUCAGUGAGGUUUUUUUUCUCUCAACACUUUAAAUAUUUACUCCACUCUGCUUGCAUGGUUUUUGAGCAGUCAGAUGUAGCUCUUAUCUUUGCUCCUCUAUAAGUAAGGUAAUUUUUUCCUCUGGCUUAUUUCAAGACUUCUUUUUAAACUUUUGAUUUUCUGCAGUUUGAAUAUGAUAUGUCUAGUUAUAGUUUUUUGGUUUUUGCUUCUUUGGUGAAUGAUGAACUGCAAGUCUGCUUCUUUAGAUCUCAAUAAAAGUGGAGGAAACUCCUUUUAACUUUAGGGAACCCCCUUCAUCCAAAAGAACACUGUGGAAUUUUAUUCAAACCCAAAUGAGAAAGAGGCAGACUUUAAACACAUAAUCUCUCAUACUUCAAUGAUGAAAGGAGAAACAUGCCAAGAAAAUGACAAACACUUAAUGCAAAUCAGAAAAUUCUGCAACUUUGUUGAAAAUAGUCUCGGUUUUUUCUGCUGUAAUUGGUUUAGUGUUGCAGGAUUGACUAUAAUCCCUGCUCAAAAUCAGCCUUAGAGCUGUUUUCGUACUACCAGUUUCAGAAGUCUAGAGUUACAUGGCGGCUUGCUGCAUAACUUAAGUGUUCCGUGUUCACUGGCCACAAAAUUACUUCCAUAUUCUUAUUUGCAAUCUUUUGUCAAAGAAAGUGCAGUUUCAGUGUGUGCUGCUUUUACAGAGUUCCAUCAGAGUUUCUCUAUUUUCUUGUUAAUUCAGUGACUCUCAUAUUUGUCAAGAAGAUCUUCAUUUCCUAAAAUAUCAUAAGGCCCUCUUUUAGAGAAGAGAGAAGAUAAUCUUUUUAUGAGGUAACAAGGCAUUUUUUGGUCAUACAAAUGAGCAAACGAAGUCUAGUGCUUAAAAGCAUGGUUCUGCAGCCAGACUAUUCAGAAUCAGCUCCCACCUUUCUUCACUACCACUAGCUGUGCAUCCUUGGAAUUUUCUCUUGGUUUCUCCUUUGUAAAAUUGGCAUAAUAGGUUUGGGUGUCAGGAUUAACCAAACAUACACAUUAUAAGAUUUUUAGGACCAUACUUGACAGAAUAUACACUCAAAUAUUAUACAUCACAAUUAAAUAAAUAACACAUGAAUGGAUUAUAGUAUUUUUGUAGUUUUCUUCCUAAGUGUAGCUUGCCUUGGGAUUCAGCAUGACUAAAACACAUUUGCAUACCUACAUCCUUUUUUACCUUUUUUUUUCUUUUUUUUCUUGUGUGGGUUUUUUUUGGCCUUCUCGCAAAUAAUCCUGGGCUUGUCCCUACAAAAACUAAAUGCCUUGGGUUUGUCCCUAUAGAAACUCUCUUGUUAUCUUAAGGAUAGCUCAGUGUUUGAGGGGUGAAAAAGACAAAGCAGAGAUGCCUCAGGUAAGAUCUUGAGUUCAUAUUCUCUGACAUAUACUGGUUGGUUUGUGUUGAGUUAGGGUUGAGUUAAUAUGUAUAAAGUGCUUAAAACAAUGCCUGGCUGAAGUGUUUGUUUUCCGUUAGGAGAGAGGGAGAGACAGGAAGAAAGUAGCAAAGAAUCUGAGAGGGAACUAUCUCCAGUUAUCCGAGUCAUUACCAAAUCCUCCUAACUACCUUGGGGUUGCAUCACCCUUUCUCCAAGUUACCUGAACACACUAUGCUGUCUCCUGUAUCAGGAGCCCUAUGAAUGCUUGUUGUUCUGCCUGGAAUGCUCUUGCCAUUG